rnacentral:rRNA from 1 species
GACGAACGCUGGCGGCGUGCCUAAUACAUGCAAGUCGAGCGGACGGAUGGGAGCUUGCUCCCAGACCGUCAGCGGCGGACGGGUGAGUAACACGUGGGCAACCUGCCUGUAAGACUGGGAUAACUCCGGGAAACCGGGGCUAAUACCGGAUAACUCUUUCCCUCACAUGAGGGAAAGCUGAAAGAUGGCAUCUCGCUAUCACUUACAGAUGGGCCCGCGGCGCAUUAGCUAGUUGGUGAGGUAACGGCUCACCAAGGCGACGAUGCGUAGCCGACCUGAGAGGGUGAUCGGCCACACUGGGACUGAGACACGGCCCAGACUCCUACGGGAGGCAGCAGUAGGGAAUCUUCCGCAAUGGACGAAAGUCUGACGGAGCAACGCCGCGUGAGUGAUGAAGGUUUUCGGAUCGUAAAACUCUGUUGUCAGGGAAGAACAAGUACCGGAGUAACUGCCGGUACCUUGACGGUACCUGACCAGAAAGCCACGGCUAACUACG